AUAACUUCCAAUUUGUCUAUGUCCCAAUCCUCCAGUGUAUCCUAGAUACAGGUCUUCUGGAGUCCCUGUAUUUCAUUGUGUCCAAGUCUAGCUCUUCUAAUAUCUUACAGCACAUAGAUAGUUCAGUUCCUACAACUUACAGUGUCUCCUAAAUCCUCAUUUACAAUGUUUUGUCAUUAGAAGUUCCUGUGAUGCCCAAGUCUUUCAAUAUCUCUAAGAACUUGGUCUUCUAACAUUCAACAUCCCCAAUGUCUCAAUAGCUAUGUCUCUUAAUAUCCUGAUCUUUUAAUUUUCAGGGCUGUCAACAUCCUUGACUUCCAGAAACAAGAAAAUUACAUCUUCUAAAAACUCUUUUUAACAUGAAAAUAUCAAUAUCCAGGUUUUCCAGUGUCUCCCAAUAUACAGGGCUUCUGAUUUUAAGGUUUCUAAAUGUUUCGAUCGUCUCUUGUUCAUAUCUUCCAAUAUUUAGGGCUUUUAAGGUAAAGGACUUGCAGUGUCUCUAGUGUUCAGGACCUCCAGCACCCAAGCCUUUCAAUAUCCAUUAAUUUUGACACCCAGGGCCCCCAAAGUCUCCAGUGUGUAGAAUAUCAAAUGUCCUCAAAAUCUAGGGCUUCCACUGUCUCCAACAUCCUGUGCUUCCAAUGUCUCCAAUAUCCAGGGUUUCUGAUGGCGCCAGUGUCAAGGUCUUCCAGUGACUCCAGGUCUUCCAGCAAUUCCAAGUCUUCCAACAACAUCAAGGUCUUCCAGCUAACCCAGUCUUCCAGAAAUCUAUGUCUUCCGGACAAUCCAUGUCUUCCAGGAAAUCCAGUCUUCCAGCAAUUAUAUGUCUUCCACAAAAUCCAUAGCUUCCAGGAAAAUCCACGUCUUCCAACAAAGGGUGCGUCUUCCGGAAAAUCCACGUCUUCCAACAAAGGGUGCGUCUUCCGGAAAAUCCACGUCUUCCAACAAGGUCUUCCAGCAUCUCCAGGGCUUCCAGCAUCUGCUCGUCUUCCAGCAUCUCCUCGUCUUCCAGCAUCUCCUCGUCUUCCAGCAUCUCCACGUCUUCCAGCAUCUUCAUGUCUUCCAACAACAACUCAGUCUUCCAAAAGUAGGCUCAAUAUCCACGUCUUCCAAUGUCUCCAGUGUACUGGUCUUCUAACAUUCAGGUCUUCUGGUGUCUACGAUAUCCAGGUCCCCAGUGCCACAGGCCCCUAACAGGAAGGCAGGGCUGGACUCUUGGCCCAGAUUGGGGGCAGUGAUGACAGGAGCAAAAGCAACAAUAGUGAUGGCAGUGGCUGUGGAUCAGGAGGAGAGAUUGGACUGCACAUGGGGCUGAGUCCCCUGGUGGCGUAGCAGUUAAGAAUUUGGCAUUGACACUGCUGUGACACGCACUCAAUCCCUGGGCCGGGAACUUCUGCAUGCGAUGGAUGCGGCCAAAAAAUGUGGUGUGUGUGUGUGUGUACGUAUACAGGCUGAAUCUUACAAUCUGCAAUUCUUAGGCUGGCCAACAUUUUGCUGCCAUCUGGGUUCUGCCAACAGGCCAACCAACGGGAUCUUAAACCCAGGAGUAUGGAACAGCCAGUUUUUUUCCUUCUUCCUCUGCAUCAAGUAAUCUCCCCCACAAUGGCUACAUAUUUUCCAUGGCUCCAUCCCUGUCAGUUUGAUCUAACACGCAGGCUCCAGUAAUGCUAUCUCUUCUCUUUGCCCUUCCAACCAGAGGUAGGAAUGACUUCUUUAUGUUGCGAAUUAUUGGGUCCCCCAACUGUCCCCUGUUUAGCUUCUCCAUUACUUUUAUAACCAAUUUUCUGCAUUAAAUAUUUACCAUGAUUUA
rnacentral:lncRNA from 1 species